rnacentral:rRNA from 1 species
GUCCUACGGGGGGCAGCAGUGGGGAAUAUUGCACAAUGGGGGAAACCCUGAUGCAGCGACGCCGCGUGAAGGAAGAAGGCUUUCGGGUUGUAAACUUCUUUUAAGAGGGAAGAGUAGAAGACGGUACCUCUUGAAUAAGCCACGGCUAACUACGUGCCAGCAGCCGCGGUAAUACGUAGGUGGCAAGCGUUGUCCGGAUUUACUGGGUGUAAAGGGCGUGUAGCCGGGCCGGCAAGUCAGAUGUGAAAUCCCAAGGCUCAACCUUGGAACUGCAUUUGAAACUGUUGGUCUUGAGUAUCGGAGAG